rnacentral:rRNA from 1 species
CGUCGCCGCGGUAAUACGGAGGGUGCAAGCGUUAAUCGGAAUUACUGGGCGUAAAGCGCACGCAGGCGGUCUGACAAGUCAGAUGUGAAAUCCCCGGGCUUAACCUGGGAACUGCAUUUGAAACUGUCAGGCUGGAGUCUUGUAGAGGGGGGUAGAAUUCCAGGUGUAGCGGUGAAAUGCGUAGAGAUCUGGAGGAAUACCGGUGGCGAAGGCGGCCCCCUGGACAAAGACUGACGCUCAGGUGCGAAAGCGUGGGGAGCAAACAGGAUUAGAUACCCCUGUAGUCCCUGUCUCUUAUACA